GACGAACGCUGGCGGCGUGCUUAACACAUGCAAGUCGAACGGAAAGGCCCUGCUUGCAGGGUACUCGAGUGGCGAACGGGUGAGUAACACGUGGGUGAUCUGCCCUGCACUUCGGGAUAAGCCUGGGAAACUGGGUCUAAUACCGGAUAGGAGCCAUUUUUAGUGUGAUGGUUGGAAAGUUUUUUCGGUGUAGGAUGAGCUCGCGGCCUAUCAGCUUGUUGGUGGGGUAAUGGCCUACCAAGGCGGCGACGGGUAGCCGGCCUGAGAGGGUGGACGGCCACAUUGGGACUGAGAUACGGCCCAGACCCCUACGGGAGGCAGCAGUGGGGAAUAUUGCACAAUGGGCGCAAGCCUGAUGCAGCGACGCCGCGGGGGGGAUGACGGCCUUCGGGUUGGAAACUCAUUUCGCUAGGGACGAAGCUUUUUGUGACGGUACCUAGAGAAGAAGCACCGGCUAACUACGUG
rnacentral:rRNA from 1 species